rnacentral:tRNA from 1 species
GGUUUAUUGUUGCGGUCAACAAGUGAUUUUGAAAGUCACUAUUAGAUGUUCAACUCAUCUAUAAACCU